GAAGAUACCAGCUGGCUGCAACUGUUUAUUAAAAACACAGCACUGUGCAAACACGAAAGUGGACGUAUACGGUGUGACGCCUGCCCGGUGCCGGAAGGUUAAUUGAUGGGGUUAUCCCUCGGGAGAAGCUCUUGAUCGAAGCCCCGGUAAACGGCGGCCGUAACUAUAACGGUCCUAAGGUAGCGAAAUUCCUUGUCGGGUAAGUUCCGACCUGCACGAAUGGCGUAAUGAUGGCCAGGCUGUCUCCACCCGAGACUCAGUGAAAUUGAACUCGCUGUGAAGAUGCAGUGUACCCGCGGCAAGACGGAAAGACCCCGUGAACCUUUACUAUAGCUUGACACUGAACACUGGUCCUUGAUGUGUAGGAUAGGUGGGAGGCUUUGAAGUGUGGACGCCAGUCUGCAUGGAGCCGCCCUUGAAAUACCACCCUUUAAUGGCUGGUGUUCUAACGUGGGCCCGUAAUCCGGGUUGCGGACAGUGUCUGGUGGGUAGUUUGACUGGGGCGGUCUCCUCCUAAAGAGUAACGGAGGAGCACGAAGGUCAGCUAAUCCUGGUCGGACAUCAGGAGGUUAGUGCAAUGGCAUAAGCUGGCUUGACUGCGAGCGUGACGGCGCGAGCAGGUGCGAAAGCAGGUCAUAGUGAUCCGGUGGUUCUGAAUGGAAGGGCCAUCGCUCAACGGAUAAAAGGUACUCCGGGGAUAACAGGCUGAUACCGCCCAAGAGUUCAUAUCGACGGCGGUGUUUGGCACCUCGAUGUCGGCUCAUCACAUCCUGGGGCUGAAGUAGGUCCCAAGGGUAUGGCUGUUCGCCAUUUAAAGUGGUACGCGAGCUGGGUUUAGAACGUCGUGAGACAGUUCGGUCCCUAUCUGCCGUGGGCGCUGGAGAACUGAGGGGGGCUGCUCCUAGUACGAGAGGACCGGAGUGGACGCAUCACUGGUGUUCGGGUUGUCAUGCCAAUGGCACUGCCCGGUAGCUAAAUGCGGAAGAGAUAAGUGCUGAAAGCAUCUAAGCACGAAACUUGCC
rnacentral:rRNA from 1 species